UGAGGAAUAUUGGUCAAUGGUCGAGAGACUGAACCAGCCAAGUCGCGUGAAGGAUGAAGGUUCUAUGGAUUGUAAACUUCUUUUAUGAGAGAGUAAAAAGGGUGACGUGUCACCUAUUGCAAGUAUCUCAUGAAUAAGCACCGGCUAACUCCGUGCCAGCAGCCGCGGUAAUACGGAGGGUGCGAGCGUUAUCCGGAUUUAUUGGGUUUAAAGGGUGCUCAGGUUGUAGAUUAAGUCAGUGGUGAAAACAAGGGGCUCAACCUCUUGCUUGCCAUUGAAACUGGUCCACUAGAGUGUAUUCGACGUAUGCGGAAUGCGUGGUGUAGCGGUGAAAUGCUUAGAUAUCACGCAGAACUCCGAUUGCGAAGGCAGCAUACGAGGCUAUAACUGACACUAAAGCACGAAAGCGUGGGUAUCAGACA
rnacentral:rRNA from 1 species